rnacentral:rRNA from 2 species
UACAGAGGUCCCAAGCGUUGUUCGGAUUCACUGGGCGUAAAGGGUGCGUAGGUGGUCGGGUAAGUCUGAUGUGAAAUCUCCGGGCCUAACCCGGAAACUGCAUCGGAUACUAUUCGGCUAGAGGGUUGGAGGGGGGACUGGAAUACUUGGUGUAGCAGUGAAAUGCGUAGAUAUCAAGUGGAACACCAGUGGCGAAGGCGAGUCCCUGGACAACUCCUGACACUGAGGCACGAAAGCUAGGGGAGCAAACAGG